GACGAACGCUGGCGGCGUGCUUAACACAUGAAAGUCGAACGGAAAGGCCCUGCUUGCAGGGUACUCGAGUGGCGAACGGGUGAGUAACACGUGGGUGAUCUGCCCUGCACUUCGGGAUAAGCCUGGGAAACUGGGUCUAAUACCGGAUAGGAGCCAUUCUUAGUGUGAUGGUUGGAAAGUUUUUUCAGUGGAGGCUGAGCUCGCGGCCUAUCAGCUUGUUGGUGGGGUAAUGGCCUACCAAGGCGGCGACGGGUAGCCGGCCGGAGAGGGGGGACGGCCACAAUGGGACUGAGACUCAGCCCAGACACCCUCGGGGGGCGGCAACGGGGAAUAUUGCACAAUGGGCGCCAGCCUGAUGCAGCGACGCCGCGGGGGGGAUGACUGCCUUCCGGUUGUAAACUCCUUUCGCGUGGGACGAAACGUUUUGUGACGGUACCUAGAUAAGAAGCACCGGCUAACUACGUG
rnacentral:rRNA from 1 species